AGCUUCUCUCGUCGUUACUCAUUACGCAAGUGGAGCAAAGCAGCCAAACCUUUAGCGGAUUAAGUAGUGGAUUG
rnacentral:tRNA from 1 species